AGUGAACGCUGGCGGUAGGCCUAACACAUGCAAGUCGAACGGCAGCACAGUAAGAGCUUGCUCUUACGGGUGGCGAGUGGCGGACGGGUGAGGAAUACAUCGGAAUCUACUUUUUCGUGGGGGAUAACGUAGGGAAACUUACGCUAAUACCGCAUACGACCUACGGGUGAAAGCAGGGGAUCUUCGGACCUUGCGCGAUUGAAUGAGCCGAGGUCGGAUUAGCUAGUUGGCUGGGUAAAGGCCCACCAAGGCGACGAUCCGUAGCUGGUCUGAGAGGAUGAUCAGCCACACUGGAACUGAGACACGGUCCAGACUCCUACGGGAGGCAGCAGUGGGGAAUAUUGGACAAUGGGCGCAAGCCUGAUCCAGCCAUACCGCGUGGGUGAAGAAGGCCUUCGGGUUGUAAAGCCCUUUUGUUGGGAAAGAAAAGCAGCAGGUUAAUACCCCGCUGUUCUGACGGUACCCAAAGAAUAAGCACCGGCUAACUUCGUG
rnacentral:rRNA from 1 species